AUACGGAGGGGGCUAGCGUUGUUCGGAAUUACUGGGCGUAAAGCGCACGUAGGCGGAUUAAAAAGUUAGAGGUGAAAUCCCAGGGCUUAACCCUGGAACUGCCUUUAAAACUAGUAGUCUAGAGUUCGAGAGAGGUGAGUGGAAUUCCAAGUGUAGAGGUGAAAUUCGUAGAUAUUUGGAGGAACACCAGUGGCGAAGGCGGCUCACUGGCUCGAUACUGACGCUGAGGUGCGAAAGCGUGGGGAGCAAACAGGAUUAGAUACCCCGGUAGUCC
rnacentral:rRNA from 1 species